ensembl:lncRNA
CAAUGCAAUGCAAUGCAAUGCAACGCAAUGCAACCCCGCACAGCACGCGGUUCUGCGGGGGGGGGACAUAAUGCACCCCCAUACAGACACACGGGGGGACAUAGAGCUCCAUAGGGACACACAGAGGGACAGAGAGGGACAUAGGGGGACAUAGAGGUCCAUAGGGGGACAUGGAGGUCCAUAGGGGGACACAGGGGGACAGAGAGGGACAUAGGGGAACAUGGGGACAUAGAGCUCCAUAGGGGACAUAGAGAUCCAUACGGACACAGAGGGGGACAUAGAGGCACAAAGGGGGACAUAGGGGGACAUAGGGGGACACAGAGGUCCAUAGGGACACAUAGGGGGACAUAGAGCUCCAUAGGGGGACAUAGAGGGACAGAGAGGGACAUAGAGGGACAUAGGGGGACAUAGAGGGACAUAGGGGGACAUAGGGGUCCAUACAGACACACAUGGGGACAGAGAGGUCCAUAGGGGGACAUAGGGGGACAUAGAGCUCCAUAGGGGGACAUAGAGGGACAUAGGGACACACAGAGGGACAGAGAGGGCCAUAGGGACACAGAGGGGGACACAGCAACCCGUUGGGACAUACAUGGGGACAUAGAGGUCCAUAGGGGGACAUAGGGGGACAUAGGGACACACGGGACACAAUGCACACCCAUAUGGGGCACAAUGCACACCCAUAGGGACACACGGGGCACAAUGCACACCCAUACACACCCAUAGGGACACACAGACAGAGCAGCCCAUAGGGACAUACAUGAGGACAUAGAGCUCCUUAGGGACACAUACGGGGACAGAGAGGGACAUAGGGGGACAUAGGGACACAUAGGGGGACAUGGAGGUCCAUAGGGGGACAUAGAGGGACAUAGGGGGACAUAGGGGGACAUAGAGCUCCAUAGGGGGACAUAGGGGGACAUAGGGACACACAGAGGGACAGAGAGGGACAUAGGGACACACGGGGACAUAGAGCUCCAUAGGGGACAUAGAGAUCCAUAGGGACACGUGGGGACAUAGAGCUCCAUAGGGGGACAUAGGGGGACAUAGGGACACACAGAGGGACAGAGAGGGACAUAGGGGGACAUAGAGGGACAUAGGGACACACGGGGACAUAGAGCUCCAUAGGGGACAUAGAGAUCCAUAGGGACACGUGGGGACAUAGAGGUCCAUAGGGGGACAUAGGGGGACAUAGGGACACAUAGGGGGACAUGGAGGUCCACAGGGGGACAUAGGGGGACAUAGAGGGACAUAGGGGGACAUAGAGCUCCAUAGGGGGACAUAGGGGGACAUAGGGACACACAGAGGGACAGAGAGGGACAUAGGGGGACAUAGAGGGACAUAGGGACACACGGGGACAUAGAGCUCCAUAGGGGACAUAGAGAUCCAUAGGGACACGUGGGGACAUAGAGGUCCAUAGGGGGACAUAGGGGGACAUAGGGACACAUAGGGGGACAUGGAGGUCCACAGGGGGACAUAGGGGGACAUAGAGACACACAUGGGGGGACAGAGUGACCCAUUGGGACAUACACGGGGACAUAGAGGGACACAGAGGUCCAUAGGGACACACAGAGGGACAUAGAGGUCCAUAGGGGGACAUAGGGGGACACAUGGGGACAUAGAGCUCCAUAGGGACACAAAGGGGCACAUAGAGGUCCAUAGGGGGACAUAGGGGUCCAUAGGGACACACAGAGGGACAUAGAGGGACAUAGGGGGACAUAGAGGUCCAUAGGGGGACAUAGAGGGACAUAGGGGGACAUGGGGGGACAGAGCGACCCGUUGGGACAUACAUGGGGACAUAGAGGGACAUAGGGGGACAUAGAGGGACAUAGGGGGACAUAGGGACACACGGGGCACAAUGCACACCCAUAGGGACACACGGGGACACACAGACAGAGCAGCCCAUAGGGACAUACAUGAGGACAUAGAGCUCCUUAGGGACACAUACGGGGACAGAGAGGGACAUAGGGGGACAUAGGGACACAUAGGGGGACAUGGAGGUCCACAGGGGGACAUAGGGACACAUAGGGGGACACAGAGGUCCAUAGGGGGACAUAGGGGGACAUAGGGGGACAUAGAGACACACAUAGGGGGACAGAGUGACCCACUGGGACAUACACGGGGACAUAGAGGGACACAGAGGUCCAUAGGGACACACAGAGGGACAUAGAGGUCCAUAGGGGGACAUAGGGGGACACAUGGGGACAUAGAGCUCCAUAGGGACACAAAGGGGCACAUAGAGGUCCAUAGGGGGACAUAGGGGUCCAUAGGGACACACAGAGGGACAUAGGGGGACAUAGGGGGACAUAGAGGUCCAUAGGGACACACAGAGGGACAGAGAGGUCCAUAGCGACACAGAGGGGGACAUAGAGGGACAUAGGGGUCCAUACAGACACACAUGGGGACAGAGAGGUCCGUAGGGGGACAUAGGGGGACACAGAGGUCCAUAGGGACACAGAGGGACAUAGAGGUCCAUAGGGACACAUGGGGGGACAGAGCGACCCAUUGGGACAUACAUGGGGACAUAGAGGGACAUAGGGACACACAGAGGGACAGAGAUGUCCAUAGGGACACAUACAGGGACAUACAGCUCCAUAGGGGGACAUUGAGCUCCAUAGGGACACACAGAGGGACAGAGAGGGACAUAGCGACACAGAGGGGGACAUAGGGGGACAUAGGGGGACAUAGGGGGACAUAGGGGUCCAUACAGACACACAUGGGGACAGAGAGGUCCAUAGGGACACAUACAGGGACAUACAGCUCCAUAGGGGGACAUUGAGCUCCAUAGGGACACACAGAGGGACAGAGAGGUCCAUAGCGACACAGAGGGGGACAUAGAGGGACAUAGGGGGACAUAGGGGUCCAUACAGACACACAUGGGGACAGAGAGGUCCAUAGGGACACAGAAGGACAGAGAGGGACAUAGGGACACAUGGGGGGACAGAGCGACCCGUUGGGACACAAAGGGGGACAUAGAGGGACAUAGGGGGACAUAGGGGGACAUAGGGACACAUGGGGGGACAGAGCGACCCAUUGGGACAUACAUGGGGACACAGAGGUCCAUAGGGACACAUACGGGGACAUAGAGGGACAUAGAGCUCCAUAGGGGGACAUAGAGGUCCAUAGGGGGACAUAGGGGGACAUAGGGACACACCGAGGGACAGAGAGGGACAUAGGGGGACAUAGAGGGACAUAGGGACACAUGGGGACAUAGAGCUCCAUAGGGGACAUAGAGAUCCAUAGGGACACGUGGGGACAUAGAGGUCCAUAGGGGGACAUAGGGGGACAUAGGGACACAUAUGGGGACAUAGAGGUCCAUAGGGACACAUGGGGACACAGAGCUCCAUAGGGGGACAUAGGGACAUAGAGCUCCAUAGGGGGACAUAGGGGUCCAUAGGGACGCAUGGGGACACAUGGAGAUCCACAGUGCCCCAUAGUGACACAUAGCGACACAUGGGACACAUGGGGUCACAUAGGGACACACGGGGACCCAUAGGGACCCAUAGGGAGCCAUAGGGAGCCAUAGGGACACAUAGGGACACAUAGGGACCCAUAGGGACCCAUAGGGAGCCAUAGGGACACACAGGGACCCAUAGGGACACAUAGGGACCCAUAGGGAGCCAUAGGGACACAUAGGGACCCAUAGGGACACAUAGGGACCCAUAGGGACCCAUAGAGAGCCAUAGGGACACAUAGGGACACGUAGGGAGCCAUAGGGACACGUAGGGAGCCAUAGGGACACAUAGGGACACAUAGGGACCCAUAGGGAGCCAUAGGGACACACAGGGACCCAUAGGGACACAUAGGGACCCAUAGGGAGCCAUAGGGACACAUAGGGACCCAUAGGGACACACAGGGACCCAUAGGGAGCCAUAGGGACACACAGGGACCCAUAGGGACACAUAGGGACCCAUAGGGACACACAGGGACCCAUAGGGAGCCAUAGGGACACACAGGGACCCAUAGGGACACAUAGGGACCCAUAGGGGCACAUAGCGACACACAGCACCCCAUAUAUCGCCACCUAUUGCCCCAUAUCCCCCAUAUAACGCCCCCUAUCGCCCCCUAUCCCCAUAUAUCGCCCCCAUCCCCAUAUAUCGCCCGCUAUGCCCAUAUAUCGCCCCUUUUGCCCCGUCUCCAUAUAUCACCCCCUAUGGCCCCCUAUCCCUAUAUACCGCCCCCUAUCCCCAUAUAUCGCCCCCUAUCGCCCCCUAUCCCCAUAUAUCGCCCCCUAUUACCCCCUAUCCCCAUAUAUUGCCCCCUAUCCCCCAUAUAUCGCCCCCUAUGGCCAUAUAUCGCCCCCUAUCCCUAUAUAUCGCCCCCUAUGGCCAUAUAUCGCCCCCUAUGGCCAUAUAUCGCCCCCUAUGGCCAUAUAUCACCCCCUAUCCCCAUAUACCGCCCCCUAUCCCACAUAUAUCACCCCCUAUGGCCCCCUAUCCCCAUAUAUUGCCCCCUAUGCCCCAUAUAUCGCCCCCUAUGGCCCCCUAUCCCUAUAUAUCGCCCCCUAUCCCCAUAUAUCGCCCCCUAUACCCCACAUAUCACCCCCUAUGGCCAUACACCGCCCCCUCUGGCCAUAUAUUGCCCCCUAUGGCCAUACAUCACCCCAUAUAUCGCCAUAUACCGCCCUCUAUUGCCAUAUAUCACCCCCUAUCCCCCAUAUAUCGCCCUCUAUCACCCCCUAUCCCCCAUAUAUUGCCCCCUAUGGCCCCAUAUCCCCAUAUAUCGCCCCCUCUUUCCAUAUAUCGCCCCCUAUCCCCCAUAUAUCACCCCCUAUCGCCCUCUAUCCCCCAUAUAUCACCCCCUAUGGCCAUAUAUCACCCCCUAUCCCCCAUAUAUCGCCCCCUAUGGCCAUAUAUCCCCCCUUUCGCCAUAUACCGCCCCCCUAUCGCCAUAUAUCGCCCCCUAUGGCCAUAUAUCCCCCCCUAUCCC